ensembl:lncRNA
GGUUUUCUAAACAAACUCAUAUAAUCAAGUGCACAACGUACUCCAAUUUGAUUUUUUUCACAUAGUUAGACAUAAUAUAGUACUAUGAAAUGUUUCUGACCCAAAAUAUUACGAAAUAUGAUUGUUUACAUUAAAAUGUAAAAGUUGAUGAUAAAGUGUGAUAAGGUGAAAAAAGUGACAUUUUAUGUCUAGAAAGUGACUUUUCAUCAAAAGUACAAUAACAAAACUAGUUCCCAUUCAUUCUGUGUCCCCUUACACACUUGUGCUCUUUAUCCGCUCAAAACGCUAUACAGCGAACGAGAAGGCGCUAGGAGCAAAGGAAAGUGGUUUUUCUAACAAACUCAUAUAAUCAAUUGCACAACGUACUCCAAUUUGAUUUUUUUCACAUAGUUAGACAUAAUAUAGUACUAUGAAAUGUUUCUGACCCAAAAUAUUACGAAAUAUGAUUGUUUACAUUAAAAUGCAAAAGUUGAUGUAAAAGUAUGAUAAGGUGAAAAAAGUGACAUUUUAUGUCUAGAAAGUGACUUUUCAUCAAAAGUACAAUAACAAAACUAGUUCCCAUUCAUUCUGUGUCCCCUUACACACUUG